CACGUAGGGCGCAAGCGUUGUCCGGAAUUAUUGGGCGUAAAGAGCUCGUAGGCGGUCUGUUGCGUCUGCUGUGAAAACUCGGGGCUUAACCCCGAGCCUGCAGUGGAUACGGGCAGACUAGAGGUAGGUAGGGGAGAAUGGAAUUCCCGGUGUAGCGGUGAAAUGCGCAGAUAUCGGGAGGAACACCGGUGGUGAAGGCGAUUCCCUGGACCGAGGCCGACGCUGAGGCGCGAGAGCGUGGGGAGCGAACCGG
rnacentral:rRNA from 1 species